rnacentral:misc_RNA from 1 species
UUGUAGCAUAUGGUAUUUGACUGUUGUUUUUUUGCAGAAACAUUUUUCAAUUAUGAAACAAACUAUAUACUAACAGAAGAUUUUCCACAAUUCUUAACUCGAGUUCCUUGUGAACCACACGUACAAGACAAGGUUAGGACUAGCCUUAACUACUAUAUAGUUUCCUCCUGACAAGUUAAACCUCUCAACAAACAAACAACAGUCAAAUACCAUAUGCUACAA